UACGUAGGGUGCGAGCGUUGUCCGGAAUUACUGGGCGUAAAGAGCUCGUAGGUGGUUUGUCGCGUUGUUCGUGAAAACUCACAGCUCAACUGUGGGCGUGCGGGCGGAUACGGGCAGACUGGAGUACUGCAGGGGAGACUGGAAUUCCUGGUGUAGCGGUGGAAUGCGCAGAUAUCAGGAGGAACACCGGUGGCGAAGGCGGUUCUCGUGGGCAUUACCUGACGCUGAGGAGCGAAAGUGUGGGGGAGCGAACAGG
rnacentral:rRNA from 1 species